GGAGCUCUCCCNUAUGGUCGACCUGCAGGCGGCCGCGAAUUCACUAGUGAUUAGAGUUUGAUCCUGGCUCAGAUUGAACGCUGGCGGCGUGCUUAACACAUGCAAGUCGAACGUGAAAGUCCUUCGGGGCGAGUAAAGUGGCGCACGGGUGAGUAACGCGUGGAUAAUCUACCCUUAAGAUGGGGAUAACGGCUGGAAACGGUCGCUAAUACCGAAUACGCUCCCGAUUUUAUCAUUGGGGGGAAAGAUGGCCUCUGCUUGCAAGCUAUCGCUUAAGGAUGAGUCCGCGUCCCAUUAGCUAGUUGGCGGGGUAACGGCCCACCAAGGCAACGAUGGGUAGCCGGUCUGAGAGGAUGACCGGCCACACUGGAACUGGAACACGGUCCAGACUCCUACGGGAGGCAGCAGUGGGGAAUAUUGCGCAAUGGGCGAAAGCCUGACGCAGCGACGCCGCGUGAGGGAUGAAGGUUCUCGGAUCGUAAACCUCUGUCAGGGGGGAAGAAACCCCCUCGUGUGAAUAAUGCGAGGGCUUGACGGUACCCCCAAAGGAAGCACCGGCUAACUCCGUGCCAGCAGCCGCGGUAAUACGGAGGGUGCAAGCGUUAAUCGGAAUCACUGGGCGUAAAGCGCACGUANGCGGCUUGGUAAGUCAGGGGUGAAAUCCCACAGCCCAACUGUGGAACUGCCUUUGAUACUGCCANNNUUGAGUACCGGAGAGGGUGGCGNAAUUC
rnacentral:rRNA from 1 species